GGUAGGAGUAGCUCAGUGGUAGAGCACCUGGUAUAUAACCAGAAGACUUGGGUUCAAUCCCCAGUCUGGUCA